UCUGUAACAAUUUCAGCUCUAUUAUCAGAAAUACAGCCUGCUGUGGAAACAGAUUCCUGUGAAUCUGAGACAUUAUUCACCUGAUCAUCAGAUAUCCCCUCUUCCAAACUCACAUUCCCAGAAAUGGAGUUGCUAUUAUCAGUAUGACUUACACUAACACUUGCAGGAUUAUUUUCCACCUGUUUUGCAGGAUCAUUAUCAAUCACAGAUACAGGGUUUGCUUCCUUAGUUUUUUCUGGCACAUUAGCCAGUGACUUAUUUUCUUCAUCCAUUAAAUAA
rnacentral:misc_RNA from 1 species